rnacentral:rRNA from 1 species
AUUGAACGCUGGCGGCAGGCCUAACACAUGCAAGUCGAGCGGUAGAGAGGUGCUUGCAUCUCUUGAGAGCGGCGAACGGGUGAGUAAUGCCUAGGAAUCUGCCUAGUGGUGGGGGAUAACGUUCGGAAACGGACGCUAAUACCGCAUACGUCCUACGGGAGAAAGCGGGGGAUCUUCGGACCUCGCGCCAUUAGAUGAGCCUAGGUCGGAUUAGCUAGUUGGUGAGGUAAUGGCUCACCAGGGCGACGAUCCGUAACUGGUCUGAGAGGAUGAUCAGUCACACUGGAACUGAGACACGGUCCAGACUCCUACGGGAGGCAGCAGUGGGGAAUAUUGGACAAUGGGCGAAAGGCCUGAUCCAGCCAUGCCGCGUGUGUGAAGAAGGUCUUCGGAUUGUAAAGCACUUUAAGUUGGGAGGAAGGGUAGUAACCUAAUACGUU